GAGCCUGCAGAGCUCCAUCAGCUGGCCCACCGUCCUCUGACUGUUCCGCAGCAGGAACUCCAAGGUGGGGCUCUGUGGCCUCUGCUCCAGGAAGCACAAUUCAUCAUAGGACAUCCCCCAUUUGCUUGCAAAAUUCCUCCAGUUUUUCACCGUUGGGUGACACGGAUCCAGCUUUAUCCUGAUCACAUCUAUGUGCAUCUGUGACACUGCUGGCCAGAACAAGGGCUCCAGCAAACAGAACGCUCCCUGAGGCACAAAGGUCUGCAGUGCCCGCUCCCUUUGAAGUGGCGCCAACACCCUGGGGUGUGUGCAGUGGGAGGGAAAGAGGCGGAAAACCCAGCAGGAGGCUUUUCAGCGGAGCUUCAGCAUGAAGAGCAUGCGCCCACACCAGAGGAAGAGCCGCCUUCCUACUGAAUCUUAAAGACUCAACUGUAGCCUCAUUUGACGAGCAGGAGGCAUGUUAGUAGGAGGACAAAGUUUGUAGGUGAGAGGUGUGGACAAGUCAUUUGUAAUAAAGUAUUAAGUGGUGUCUAAACAACAUGGCAAAUUAAGCAGCUUAAAUUCUACAACAACACUGAGUCUCACGAGCCCUCUGAAUUCAGGUUUUAAUAGCCAAAGGCCACUUUGCUUGGAAAGGCCACUGGCUUGGAAAAUUCUGGGGAAGGUUAUAAUAGCCUUUACUAUAUAUAUGACGUUGAGUCAUGGCCUUCCUAGUUUGGGAAGGUAAAGAAUUUGGACAGAGGGAGUAACUCUGGUGAUCAUAAGGGAGCAAACCAGCAAUCUUGAGGCCAGUGGAAAUUCAAAGGCAGUAAAACAAGAGCCAUGAAAAUAUGCUCAUACUCUUUGACCUAUUAAUGUAACUCCUGGGAAUCCAUCCUAAGGAGAUAAUCCAAAAUACACAUUUACAUAAACAUUGUUAUCACGGUGUUAUUUACAUUAUUGAGUUUCAAAAACAACCAAAAUGUCUAAAGUUAGGGGACUUGUGAAAUAAAUGAUUGUACUACUUGAUGGAA